rnacentral:tRNA from 1 species
CUGGCCCUUGGUGCGGCGCUUCUGCUUGUACGGCAGGUAGAGGUCUUCGAGGCGGGUCUUGGUGUCGGCGAGCUUGAUGUCGCGGGCCAGU